GACGAAGAGAAAGGUGCCCUGGAUUUCUCGGUUUUGUAGAGAGCACAUUGUCGAACCAGCAGUUGGCAGAUGGCGAUGACACAGAUGAGUAGCUUAGGCGAGAGGUCAUUGUUGUGAAGGCCGUCACGGGAAGGCGUGGGGGAUUUGGCACAAGGCCGAUGAUCGAGUCUAUGCUCUCUCCUCUAUGGAAAGACCUAUUUUCUCUGAUGAUUGUUUUGAAGUGGCAGACCAUGUGAACAACCUGGGCACCAUCGCGA